UGUCAGUACAUGCUGUAAGGUUGGGA
rnacentral:piRNA from 1 species